rnacentral:tRNA from 1 species
GGGGAUUUAGCUCAGCGGUAGAGCACUUGCCUAGCAAGUACAAGGCUCUGGGUUCGGUCCCCAGCUCCG